GAUGAACGCUGGCGGCGUGCCUAAUACAUGCAAGUCGAGCGAACGGACGAGAAGCUUGCUUCUCUGAUGUUAGCGGCGGACGGGUGAGUAACACGUGGAUAACCUACCUAUAAGACUGGGAUAACUUCGGGAAACCGGAGCUAAUACCGGAUAAUAUUUUGAACCGCAUGGUUCAAAAGUGAAAGACGGUCUUGCUGUCACUUAUAGAUGGAUCCGCGCUGCAUUAGCUAGUUGGUAAGGUAACGGCUUACCAAGGCAACGAUGCAUAGCCGACCUGAGAGGGUGAUCGGCAACACUGGAACUGAGACACGGUCCAGACUCCUACGGGAGGCAGCAGUAGGGAAUCUUCCGCAAUGGGCGAAAGCCUGACGGAGCAACGCCGCGUGAGUGAUGAAGGUCUUCGUAUCGUAAAACUCUGUUAUUAGGGAAGAACAUAUGUGUAAGUAACUGUGCACAUCUUGACGGUACCUAAUCAGAAAGCCACGGCUAACUACGUG
rnacentral:rRNA from 1 species